rnacentral:lncRNA from 1 species
CCGGUUCAUUGCCAAACUGGGACCAGUUUAAUUCCCAAACUGGGACCGGUUCAUUCCCAAACUGGGACCAGUUUAAUUCCCAAACUGGGAUCGGUUCAUUGCCAAACUGGGACCGGUUCAUUCCCAAACUGGGACCAGUUUAAUUCCCAAACUGGGACCGGUUCAUUCCCAAACUGGCACCAGUUUACUUCCCAAACUGGGACUGGCUCAAUCCCAAACUGGGACCGGUUUAAUUCCCAGACUGGGACUGGUUCAUUCCCAGCUGGAUCCACCCCAGCGCCUCUUCCUCUUCCUCUUCCUCCUCCUCCUCUUCCUCCUCCUCCUCUUCCUCCUCCUCCUCCUCCUCCUCUCUCAUUGUUUGGGAAAACCGAUGGGAUUUUGGCUGAGUUCCUCCAACAGAGGAGCCGGAAUCGGAGCGACCAUUCCCAGCUGGAUCCACCCCAAGGUUCCACCACUUUUCCGGGAUUUGGGCUGCAGCCUCUGCUCCCGCUGCCCUUCCUCUUCCUUUUUGCCUUCUCCUCUUCCUCCUCCCUCAUUUUUUGGGAAAACCGAUGGGAUUUUGGGGGGAUUCCUCCAACAGAGGAGCCGGAACCAGAGCGGCCAUUCCCAGCUGGAUCCACCCCAGUGCCUCUUCCUCUUCCUCUUCCUCCUCCUCCUCCACCUCCUCUUCCUCCUCCUCCCUCAUUUUUUGGGAAAACCGAUGGGAUUUUGGGUGAGUUCCUCCAACAGAGGAGCCGGAACCGGAGCGACCAUUCCCAGUUUCUCCUCCUCCUCCUCCUCCUCACUUUUCCGGGAUUUGGGCUGCAGCCUCUACUCCCGCUGCCCUUCCUCCUCCUCCUCCUCCUCGUCGCGGCGCUCGGGGCGGUACUUGCGGCGCCGCAGGGCCUCGGUGAGGCUGCGGGGUGCCGACGCCGCCGGCUCCUGGCGCUCCUGGAAGUUGCGGUCCAGCAGCUCGGCCGCCUGGCGCCAGCCGUGGAAGCAGGAGCUUCCCAAAUCCCGGAUCUCCGGCACCGCGUCCGCAACCAGCACGGCCCCGCUGGGCGCCAGCACCACCACGGCCGGCAGCUGCGACACCCCGAAACGGCGCUCCAGCUCCCUGGAAACGGCAAACGCGAGGGAAGGGAGACGGCGAGUUCGGGAUGGGAAAUGGGGAAAUUGGGAAUGGGGAAAUUGGGGGAAUUGGGGGAAUUGGGGGAAUUGGGGAAAUUGGGGGAGUUCGGGAC